UAGUACAAUCCCAUGUUCCCAGAUUCCCAUCAACCAUUAACACUCUAAGUACCUACUUACCUCUCUACUCAUCCAUAUUUAUUAUUGUCUUUGUGACUAAAUGAACUGGGUUUUAACUAAGCUUGUUUUGUUGAAUUAUGUCUUACAUGUUCAUUUUUCUUCAUUUAGUCUUAAUGCUGUUUCUUGUCUGCUCGAGUUGAAUUAGCCUUAUACAUGCUAUAUUUGACAUUAUAACAUCUAUAGAUAUAUAUUUGACAAAAUUAAGUUCAAAAAGAUGCAAUUGACAUCUAAAAGAAGUGAAUUUUGCAUGAAACCUUGCAUGUAAAUUAACAUACUAAAUUGGCCUACCCAAAGGUAGUUUUCUGAACGAUUCACACAGAAAUUCAUUCUGCUCAUGUGUCAUGCAUUAUUGUAUACUUGGGUAUCUGUUAUUCAGGCAUGAAAAUAUAUCUUCCCUAAAUACGACAAGAUACUGAACAGAAUAUGCUUCGUUCCCUCCUUGUUUUCUUUUGCAAAAUAAAUAUAUGCUACUGUUCCAAAGUUUAAUGUAGGUAAGAAUUAUAGGUAACACUUUAGAGUAGGGAGCACUUAUUCACUAUUAACUACAACGUUUCCAUCAAUAAAUUCCUAAUUUGCUGCUUAUUAAUAGUUAGUAAGGUAGUUGUUAAGUUUUAAUAAGGCAUUAAUAUGUGCUUAAUUAGUACUAAUAAAUGGCUAAUAUUCUAGUAAUAUACAUGAUAAUAAGCAACUAGUUAAGAGACCAUAAAAUAAAGUGAGUGAAUGAGAGAGAUAAAUUGAAAAUAUCACUGCAAUAGAAAGUAAAAACAAGCAUUUAUUUAAAAAAAAAAGAAAAAAAAAAGGUAACAAUAUAAAUGUCUUUACUGUCUCAAAUCAUCAGUUUAAUACAUCCUUGCUGAUUACAGGUAAUCUAUAAAUAAAUUCAUUCAUUCAUUACUGAGCCCAAACGUUUGAUUGUUAAUGCAGCUUUUACUUUUCUCUAAGGUCUAUUACUGGGUUUAUUAAUAUGAGUUUGCGAGCUAAGUGUAUUUCUGUUUGUUUUAAUUAGAGAACUGUUAUGAACAUGAAGGCUUGUGUGUAUGUGAGAGGAAAACAUGACACUUGAAUUCAUGUUUUAUGUGUGUGUUCAGAGGCGCACACAGUUACAGGAACAGAUGAGUUUCCGCUAUAAAGAAAGACUGAAGUGUCAAACUCUCCCAAUCAAACAGGAGCAGGUACACAGCUUUAGAAAAGCCCUGCUUAUACUGCUACAAUUUAGUGUCUCCUUUGUCCUUUUUUGUGUAGUAAACAAGAAGAUAGUCCCAUGAGGUGAUCAUUUAGUCCCCUGUGUACUUGUCUGUUGUUGUUAGUUUCCUGUUUGACGUGCUCAUGCACUGGAGAUCUAGAGGUAUAUCUUUCCACACUGUGCUUCGGUGCUCUUUGUUUGCGUUUCCAGUGUGAUUGAGACGAAUGAGCCGAACGCUUUGCUUAUUGUUCUGGUGCUUUGAAAUUCCUCAUUCUCAGAUUGUAGAGGUUCAGAUGUGGUUUUGAUAGCUUUGUUAGACAUUCCUUGUGCAUGGGAGGUCUGUGUGUGUGUUAAGUGUCACUAAAGUCACUGGGUUUGAUUAUCAGCUGUGUUUUUGAGCUUCUAAUGGGACACUGUUUGUUCUCUAACACAGUGCUCCUGUCUGUCAUCACUACAGUUGUGUUUGUGUGUAGUAGGUGAUUGGAUGUUUGGGGGGUAUUAUCAGGUUUUUUUAAUCUGAUGAGUGUGUGUGUGAGGUUUUUGUAUUUAUGUAAUUUUUAUGUGAACGGGUUCUCCUCUCUUGUCUCUCUUAGCCAGCAGCGGGACUGAGGUCUUGAGGAGCUGCCCUAAGAAAACCAUUCUCCUUUCUUCUUCCUCACCCUCAUCUUCCUCAUUCUCUCCAUCGUUUCUUCCACAUGCACAGCAUAAUGUUAACCAGUCAGAGAUAAACAAGUGUAAUGGUGGUGGUGAUGAAGAGAAUGAGAUCCAGGACCCUUCAAUCUAUUACAGGGAAGAUAACCUGCCUAGUGUGGACAAGCCAGAGCCCAUACAUAUCCCUAGCAUUCAAGAGCGAGUGGACACUCUAGUUGCUAGGUUUAAAGGCAAGCCUGACAGGAAGGACAAGCCACAGGUAGAGCAAUUCAAGACAAAACACCAUGCUCUUAAAGGGAUAGUACACCCAAAAAUGAAAAUUCUGUCUUUUUUUACUCAUCCUCAAGUUGAUCCAAACCUGUAUGAAUUUGUCUUCUGUUGGACACAAAAUAAGAUAUUUUGGUAACUAAACAGUUGCUGGUGGAGUAAAUGACAGAUUUUUAAUUUUUGGGUGUACUAUCUCUUUAACUAACAGAUGAUGGACAAUAUCAGACAGCUUGGUCAAGACCAGGUUAAAGACAAUAAGGACACAAUGUCUUGAGUCGUGGCCUUGACUUGUCUUGUCAUGAACAUUUGCGCUCUUCCUUUUUCCGAACAUAUCAACAUUAAUAGUUAUUUUUUUGUCCUCACAUCUUCCUUUGUGAAGGUUAUGAAAAAGCCAUCACGGUUCUUUAUUGAGCAGUGGCUUUUGACCCACCGCCUCAGUCCUGAGCAACCCUUCUACCCUUCUGAGCCCCAGCAUCAGCAGAAGGAGGUUUUGCGUUCUGAUGAUCACGUGCCUUUACACAUCCCCAGCAUUCAGGAGAGAACUGAGAGAUUAG